AAAAGCUGUUAGCAGCUCCUGUGGCCAGAAGCUUUAAAACCAGCAGAGUUUUGCUCUUUGGGGUUUGUAGUAAGAGACACUCCUUCACAAAGGGUCAUAUCAUCAUUUAGGGGAGUGCUAUAUAUACUGGGAGAACAAUAGACUGUUCUUUUUUUUUCUUGAUAUUAUCCAGAGAUCAUUUUCUACCGCCCUGACUUAAAGCAGAGUACCUCUGUGGCCUAUCUUUCUCCUUUGGCAUCAAAAUGACAGUAAUUGCUGCAAUCAGUUGUGCUUUCUUAUUUUGCAUUCUCUGUGAAACAAGUGCGUUAGUGUUACCCAACUCCACUGACCUACUCCUGUCAGACAAUAAUUUCACUGACAUUGAGACAGCUUUGGCAGCUCAUCUGGACUCUGCGAAAAUUCCCAAAGCCAGGCGGAAGCGCUACAUUUCACAGAAUGACAUGAUUGCCAUUCUUGAUUAUCAUAAUCAAGUCAGAGGCAAAGUCUUCCCACCUGCUUCCAACAUGGAAUACAUG